UACGUAGGGUGCGAGCGUUGUCCGGAAUUAUUGGGCGUAAAGAGCUCGUAGGCAGUCUGUCGCGUCGGCUGUGAAAUCCCGAGGCUCAACCUCGGGUCUGCAGUCGAUACGGGCAAACUGGAGUGUUGCAGGGGAGACUGGAAUUCCUGGUGUAGCGGUGAAAUGCGCAGAUAUCAGGAGGAACACCGGUGGCGAAGGCGGGUCUCUGGGCAACAACUGACGCUGAGGAGCGAAAGCGUGGGGAGCGAACAGG
rnacentral:rRNA from 1 species